CCCGAACCGUGCGCGGCCCAAGAUCAAGUGACGCUACUCAGUUCCUCUCACGAUUCAUCUGUUCCUCACCGUCGUUCAUAGCGACGGACCGUCGGUGGCGGCGGCGGCGGCUCCUCCCUGAUCCAGUCUCGUUAGGUACCAGGGCAACCUGAACAUGCAGUUCGUCAGUUUUGCAAUGAAUUGAAGCUAGCUGGUUCAGUUUCAUCAAAACUAAGGAAGCACAACAACAUGUGUAUUUAGUUUUGUAAUAGAUAGGAAUUUGUCGGGUGAGUGAGACAAGAUUUACCAAAUUACCAAUGCAAGAGGAUUUUGAGAUGAGCUCUGAUUGGCACUUCACUAGCUAGUUGCUCAUAUCACAUUGGUGUUCUUUUUUUUCAGUGAUUUUAGGCUACAAAUUGCAAACUGGGUGAUGAAUGCUGAUGCCUUUGAACCUGGAGCAUCAACUGAAGAUUGCACCUGUACCAAUCAGAAAGGUCCAUAAAGUGGUGCUUGAAGAAGGAAGAUGUUCAAUUCUGAAGUGUACAUUGUAAUGAUCAUUGAUGUUCUUUUGCAGUCUGUGGCUCUAUUUCGACCAGCUCCUUUUCUUCUUUUGAUCUGCUUAAGAUAAUAUAACCUGUACCGUUACUGAAUGUUGAUUUGUAAUAGCAAAUUGAUGUGAAUUUAGACUGUGGCUCAAUAUGGAUUAAGAUGAAUUAAACUGUA